rnacentral:rRNA from 1 species
CCCUUAGAUGUUCUGGGCCGCACGCGCGCUACGCUGAUGCAUUCAACGAGUUACCUUGGCCGAGAGGCCUGGGCAAUCUUUUGAACGUGCAUCGUGAUAGGGAUAGAUUAUUGCAAUUAUUAAUCUUGAACGAGGAAUUCCUAGUAAACGCAGUUCAUCAAACUGCAUUGAUUACGUCCCUGCCCUUUGUACACACCGCCCGUCGCACCUACCGAUUGGAUGGUCCGGUGAAGCCUCGGGAUUGUGGCCAGUGCCUUUUUGGUUUUGGUUGCGAGAACUUGUCUAAACCUUAUCAUCUAGAGGAAGGUGAAGUCGUAACA